rnacentral:rRNA from 1 species
GAUGAACGCUGGCGGCGUGCCUAAUACAUGCAAGUCGAGCGAACAGACGAGGAGCUUGCUCCUCUGACGUUAGCGGCGGACGGGUGAGUAACACGUGGAUAACCUACCUAUAAGACUGGGAUAACUUCGGGAAACCGGAGCUAAUACCGGAUAAUAUAUUGAACCGCAUGGUUCAAUAGUGAAAGACGGUUUUGCUGUCACUUAUAGAUGGAUCCGCGCCGCAUUAGCUAGUUGGUAAGGUAACGGCUUACCAAGGCAACGAUGCGUAGCCGACCUGAUAGGGUGAGCGGCCACGCUGGAACUGAGACACGGUCCAGACUCCUACGGGAGGCAGCAGUAGGGAAUCUUCCGCAAUGGGCGAAAGCCUGACGGAGCAACGCCGCGUGAGUGAUGAAGGUCUUCGGAUCGUAAAACUCUGUUAUUAGGGAAGAACAAAUGUGUAAGUAACUAUGCACGUCUUGACGGUACCUAAUCAGAAAGCCACGGCUAACUACGUG